AGACGUAGGAGGCGAGCGUUAUCCGGAUUUAUUGGGCGUAAAGGGCAAGUAGGCGGUAGUCAAAGUUAGGUGUGACAUCUCCCGGCUCAACUGGGAGGGAGCGCUUAAAACUAGGCAACUAGAGGGCAGGAGAGGGAGGCGGAACUCCUAGUGUAGCGGUGGAAUGCUCAGAUACUAGGAAGAACACCAGUGGCGAAGGCGGCCUCCUGGACUGUACCUGACGCUGAGAGGCGAAAGCUAGGGUAGCAAACGGGCUUAGAUACCCCGGUAGUCCUAGCUGUAAACGGUGGAUACUGGGUAAUGGGGGUAAUCACUCCCCCAGUGCCGAAGCAAACGCGUUAAGUAUCCCGCCUGGGGACUACGAUCGCAAGGUUAAA
rnacentral:rRNA from 1 species